rnacentral:rRNA from 1 species
GAUGAACGCUGGCGGCGUGCCUAAUACAUGCAAGUCGAACGAACAGACGAGGAGCUUGCUCCUCUGACGUUAGCGGCGGACGGGUGAGUAACACGUGGAUAACCUACCUAUAAGACUGGGAUAACUUCGGGAAACCGGAGCUAAUACCGGAUAAUAUAUUGAACCGCAUGGUUCAAUAGUGAAAGACGGUUUUGCUGUCACUUAUAGAUGGAUCCGCGCCGCAUUAGCUAGUUGGUAAGGUAACGGCUUACCAAGGCAACGAUGCGUAGCCGACCUGAGAGGGUGAUCGGCCACACUGGAACUGAGACACGGUCCAGACUCCUACGGGAGGCAGCAGUAGGGAAUCUUCCGCAAUGGGCGAAAGCCUGACGGAGCAACGCCGCGUGAGUGAUGAAGGUCUUCGGAUCGUAAAACUCUGUUAUUUGGGAAGAACAAAUGUGUAAGUAACUAUGCACGUCUUGACGGUACCUAAUCAGAAAGCCACGGCUAACUACGUG